GACGAACGCUGGCGGCGUGCUUAACACAUGCAAGUCGAGCGGAAAGGCCACUUCGGUGGUACUCGAGCGGCGAACGGGUGAGUAACACGUGAGUAAUCUGCCCCUGGCUUUGGGAUAGCCACCGGAAACGGUGAUUAAUACCGGAUACGACCACUUCUCGCAUGGGAUGGUGGUGGAAAGUUUUUUCGGCCAGGGAUGUGCUCGCGCCCUAUCAGCUUGAUGGUGAGGUAAUGGCUCACCAUGGCUUCGCCGGGUAGCCGGCCUGAUAGGGUGACCGGUUACACUGGGACUGAGACACGGCCCAGACUCAUUCGGGAGGCAGUAUUGGGGAAUAUUGGACAAUGGGCGGAAGCCGGAUCCAGCAACGCCGCGUGAUGGCUGACGGCCUUCGGGUUGUAAACCUCUUUCAGCAGGGACGAAGCGCAAGUGACGGUACCUGCAGAGGAAGCACCGGCCAACUACGUGCCAGCAGCCGCAGUAA
rnacentral:rRNA from 1 species